rnacentral:ncRNA from 1 species
AUAAGCAGCUCGAACUAAAAUGAGAGCGUACCUUUUGCAUAAUGGGUCACCAAGUUAACCUUAGAUGCGAGCUAAUCGCGUAGUUAAAACGAUGAUCAAUCAAAUGAAUUAGUGUCUAAAGUUAGACCCGAAGCUAGGUGAUCUUACUACAAUCAGGAGUAUAAAAGUCCGAACCGGUUAUUGUAGCAAAAAUAUCGGAGGAAUUGUGGUAAGUAUAGUGAAAGACAAAACUGACCUAGAUAGCUGGUUUUCUGCGAAACCUAUAAUAGUAGGCAAUUUAAGUAACAUUUUAGCAGGUACAGAACUUCAUCUCAGACAAGGUGUAUUAAAUUUGAUUAAAAGUUUUAGUUGGUUUUUUGCCGGGAACUUUUAGUUAAAUCGACAUCUUACUUUGUACAUAUCGGGGGAUCGUAGAGAUUUUAUCGGUGAGUUUGUAGACUCGAAAUGGCAAAAAUGAAUCUUAAAUUAUCAGACAUAGAAUGAUAAGGUUGUAUGUCAAAAGGGAAACAGCCCAGAACAAGAGUUAAGGUUCCGAAAUUAUUGUUAAGUGAAAUUAAGAAAGUUUUUAUUUAAGUCGACAAGGAGAUGGGCUUAGAAGCAGCCAUAAUUCAAAGACCUCGUAACAGAGCGCUUGUUAAUUUUUAAAGGCAUCGAAAAUUUAACGGAUCUAAACAAUAUACCGAUACCUUGUCCAUAACUGAUUAUAAAUUUAAAUUAUAAGGCGAUAAGCUUUUAAUUAUAAUCUUUUACUGGGGUAGCAGAACAUUGGGUAAACCUGCAGCAUUCCAUCGUUUUUUACGAUGGAUGCGACUCCAUUGGAGAUGAUGAUAAUUAUAUCAUCACAGCAAACUCAAGAGAGAAUGGUGACAUGAGUAACAAAAAAGAAGUUCGAACAUAAGUUCGAACACUCGCCUAAAGCUUAUGGUUUAAUUAAAGUAACGGCCUCUAAGUUUUCACUUCCAAAGGUUGAAACGAUGAGAAAAUCUUAUUACUUACAUGACAACAUUUUUAAAGUGAAAAGUGUGCAGGAAAAAUUAAGUAAUAUAUCUUUAUAUAUAGUCAUUUCUUAUGUAAAGAUGAAAAAAAACCGUACCUAGAAACUGUGACAAGUAAGCUAGUGUAGUAUACGAAGGCGUAAAUGAGCUAACAAUCAUAAAGGAACUCGGCAAACUAACUUCCGUAACUUAGGGAUAAGGAGGGCUCAUUCGUCCCGUGGGAUCUUUUAUUAUUACGGUAAUAAAGACUACGGGUAAGAAGGAAGAAGCAUGAAAUAUUGUUGUACGACUGUUUAAUUAAAACAAAGCACUUUGCAUACGACUUAAGUCUAAGUAUAGAGUGUGAUUUCUGCCCGGUGCCGGCUGGUUAACGAAAAUAACUAACUUUAAAAAGUUUGGUACUGUAGGAACCCCCGGUUAAUGGCGGCCUUAGCGUGAGGGUCCUAAGGUAGCGGAAUACCUUGACUGUUAAAUGCAGUCUUUGCAUGAAUGAUGUAACGAUACAACAGCUGUCUCUAUGAUUGACUCAGUGAAAUUG